rnacentral:rRNA from 1 species
AUACGUAGGGGGCAAGCGUUAUCCGGAUUUACUGGGUGUAAAGGGAGCGUAGACGGUAAAGCAAGUCUGAAGUGAAAGCUCGGGGCUCAACCCCGGAACUGCUUUGGAAACUGUUUUACUGGAGUGCAGGAGAGGUAAGCGGAAUUCCUAGUGUAGCGGUGAAAUGCGUAGAUAUUAGGAGGAACACCAGAGGCGAAGGCGGCUUACUGGACCGUAACUGACGUUGAGGCUCGAAGGCGUGGGGAGCAAACAGGAUUAGAUACCCUGGUAGUCCACGCGGUAAACGAUGAUCACUAGGUGUCGGCGGCCAUAGGCGGUCGGUGCCGCAGCAAACGCAAUAAGUGAUCCACCUGGGGAGUACGUUCGCAAGAAUGAAACUCAAAUGAAUUGACGGGG